UCCGCUUCCUUGCUGCUGUGAGCUAUCUUCAUUGUUUUCAUCAUCAUCUUCCGCUGCUAAAUUCGACCUAAACUCGUAGACCAGGCCAUAGGUGCCCAGAUGACACACAAGCACAGCAGAAAUCCCUCCUGCCUUCUUUGUCCAAGGAAAGGUGUGCUGGUCUGGGAGCCAGGAGGAGACCUUCUGUUGACUGGAGCUGGUCUUGGCCGAACUGGCACACUUAUAGCCUGUUAUAUUAUGAAGCAUUAUAGGAUGACAGCAGCUGAAACCAUUGCUUGGAUUAGAAUAAAUAGACCCGGCUCAGUAAUUGGACCACAGCAGCACUUCCUUGUAGAGAAACAGACAGAACUUUGGACAGAAGGAGAUAUUUUUCGUGCAAAGUUAAAGGGAAAUCGCAAAAUUGCUGUUACAAAAAUCCUCACAGGAGUAGAUGAUAUUUCCAUUAAUGAUGCAAAAAACCGGAGAGCCAACAGAAAAGACUCUGAACUGUACAGUGAUGAAGAUGAUGCAAACUGUGUAACACAAGGUGAUAAGCUUCGUGCCCUGAAGAGUAAAAGGCAGGCAAAGGCUGCAACCACAGUUCCACUAACAUGGCUCCUAGCUAUGCUGGUCUCUACACUGUGUAGCAUUGUCAUCUGGUGGAUUGUUUGUGGCUCCCUUCUUCCCAGCCUGCUAUUCAGUCUAGAUGGUUUAAGAACAUAGUAACCUCAGGACCCCCUGAGAAAGAGCCACUGUAGUAAUUCUACAGUCCAGUGUUCAGAAAAGUAAAAUGUCUGAACCUAGCAUUUCUGGCAGUGCAGACAUUAAUAAAAGAACUACCAGGUCUGCUGCAAGAAAAAGCAGUUUAAAAAGUGGUCACUCCAUACCAAGGACCAGGACAGUGCUGCGUUAAG